GCAAGUCGAACGAACUCUGGUAUUGAUUGGUGCUUGCAUCAUGAUUUACAUUUGAGUGAGUGGCGAACUGGUGAGUAACACGUGGGAAACCUGCCCAGAAGCGGGGGAUAACACCUGGAAACAGAUGCUAAUACCGCAUAACAACUUGGACCGCAUGGUCCGAGCUUGAAAGAUGGCUUCGGCUAUCACUUUUGGAUGGUCCCGCGGCGUAUUAGCUAGAUGGUGGGGUAACGGCUCACCAUGGCAAUGAUACGUAGCCGACCUGAGAGGGUAAUCGGCCACAUUGGGACUGAGACACGGCCCAAACUCCUACGGGAGGCAGCAGUAGGGAAUCUUCCACAAUGGACGAAAGUCUGAUGGAGCAACGCCGCGUGAGUGAAGAAGGGUUUCGGCUCGUAAAACUCUGUUGUUAAAGAAGAACAUAUCUGAGAGUAACUGUUCAGGUAUUGACGGUAUUUAACCAGAAAGCCACGGCUAACUACGUGCCAGCAGCCGCGGUAAUACGUAGGUGGCAAGCGUUGUCCGGAUUUAUUGGGCGUAAAGCGAGCGCAGGCGGUUUUUUAAGUCUGAUGUGAAAGCCUUCGGCUCAACCGAAGAAGUGCAUCGGAAACUGGGAAACUUGAGUGCAGAAGAGGACAGUGGAACUCCAUGUGUAGCGGUGAAAUGCGUAGAUAUAUGGAAGAACACCAGUGGCGAAGGCGGCUGUCUGGUCUGUAACUGACGCUGAGGCUCGAAAGUAUGGGUAGCAAACAGGAUUAGAUACCCUGGUAGUCCAUACCGUAAACGAUGAAUGCUAAGUGUUGGAGGGUUUCCGCCCUUCAGUGCUGCAGCUAACGCAUUAAGCAUUCCGCCUGGGGAGUACGGCCGCAAGGCUGAAACUCAAAGGAAUUGACGGGGGCCCGCACAAGCGGUGGAGCAUGUGGUUUAAUUCGAAGCUACGCGAAGAACCUUACCAGGUCUUGACAUACUAUGCAAAUCUAAGAGAUUAGACGUUCCCUUCGGGGACAUGGAUACAGGUGGUGCAUGGUUGUCGUCAGCUCGUGUCGUGAGAUGUUGGGUUAAGUCCCGCAACGAGCGCAACCCUUAUUAUCAGUUGCCAGCAUUAAGUUGGGCACUCUGGUGAGACUGCCGGUGACAAACCGGAGGAAGGUGGGGAUGACGUCAAAUCAUCAUGCCCCUUAUGACCUGGGCUACACACGUGCUACAAUGGAUGGUACAACGAGUUGCGAACUCGCGAGAGUAAGCUAAUCUCUUAAAGCCAUUCUCAGUUCGGAUUGUAGGCUGCAACUCGCCUACAUGAAGUCGGAAUCGCUAGUAAUCGCGGAUCAGCAUGCCGCGGUGAAUACGUUCCCGGGCCUUGUACACACCGCCCGUCACACCAUGAGAGUUUGUAACACCCAAAGUCGGGGGGU
rnacentral:rRNA from 2 species